rnacentral:rRNA from 1 species
CCUACGGUGUGCAGCAGUGAGGAAUAUUGGUCAAUGGGCGCGAGCCUGAACCAGCCAAGUCGCGUGAGGGAAGACGGUCCUAUGGAUUGUAAACCUCUUUUGUCGGGGAGCAAAAGACGCCACGCGUGGCGUUCCGAGAGUACCCGAAGAAAAAGCAUCGGCUAACUCCGUGCCAGCAGCCGCGGGAAUACGGAGGAUGCGAGCGUUAUCCGGAUUUAUUGGGUUUAAAGGGUGCGCAGGCGGAAGAUCAAGUCAGUGGUAAAAUUGAGAGGCUCAACCGCGUCUAGGCGUUGAAACUUGUUUUCUUGAGUGAGCGAGAAGUAUGCGGAAUUCGUUGGGUAGCGGUGAAAUGCAUAGAUAUCACGCAGAACUCCGAUUGCGAAGGCAGCAUACCGGCGCUCAACUGACGCUCAUGCACGAAAGUGUGGGUAUCGAACAGGAUUAGAUACCCCUGUAGUC